CCUACUGCAGAAAAGCUUUAAUGCGUCUUGAGAGGGAGAGCAUAAGCUUACAAUGCGGAGACGGAGAGUGAGGAAUAACCGUCCCUUAUAUAGGAAACUAUCCUCGCCUAGGACGUGUCACUCUCUGACUGGUCGCUGCCAAUUAUGCCAGAUGACGUACCAAAACGUACGUGUCCCUUUGAGUAGGGAAGUUACCAGGCGCCUGCGUAUUGCCCUUUUUACUAGGUGCGUUCUGCCGGAUGCCGGUGCCAUCUUGUAAUGGAGUUUGUGAGGACAGCUCCUCGGACAGCUCCUCACAUCUGUGAGGACAGCUCCUCAGACAGCUCCUAACAUCUCUUUGAACAAUCAAUGGUGCAAAAGUGGAGUCCCACCUGUGGGCUUAGGUGUGAAAGCGCUCCUGGCAGACCGCUCUCCGUGGGCAGUUUUUGGGUCUGAAGGACUAUGGAACAGCCUUAGUUCUUGGUGCAGAUGGAGACCUGGAAAAGUCCUGUUUCCGGUUGCCCUGUGGUUCUUGCAUCCAGCGAGUUCCUGUUUGGUCUCUCCUUGGACAAUGAGUGGUGCAAAAGUGUGGAUCCACCUGUGGGCUUAGGAUUGAAAGCACUCCUGGCAGAUCAGUUCUCUGCAGACAGGUUUUGUGUCGGAAGGCUGUGAGACAGCCUCAGCUCUGAGCUCAGGUUGAGAACUCUUGGACCUAAUGAAGCUCAUAAUGAUGAAUAAUUUAUGGGAGAUGACUCUAAGGAUCAUCAGCAGAAAGCUGUGGAAAGACACAAGGAAUUCCAUAAGAAAGAGGACUUGUCAUUCUCAAAAAGAAAGUUGACAAGGAGAUAAUUGAAUCUGGAAACAAUAUAAAUUCCUGCUAUGCAGUCCAGGCCGGCUUUGGAUUUAGGAUAAUCCUUCAGCUCGAUCUCCAAAGUGUUGGGAUUGCAAGUACUGCAGUCCUGGGGAAAAUUUUGACAGGAUUCAAUACAUACUAUCUCUGAGGAUA